rnacentral:rRNA from 1 species
GUAGUCAUAUGCUUGUCUCAAAGAUUAAGCCAUGCAUGUCUAAGUAUAAGCAACUAUACUGUGAAACUGCGAAUGGCUCAUUAAAUCAGUUAUCGUUUAUUUGAUAGUACCUUACUACUUGGAUAACCGUGGUAAUUCUAGAGCUAAUACAUGCGCAAAACCCCGACUUCGGAAGGGGUGUAUUUAUUAGAUAAAAAACCAACGCCCUUCGGGGCUCCUUGGUGAAUCAUAAUAACUUAACGAAUCGCAUGGCCUUGCGCCGGCGAUGGUUCAUUCAAAUUUCUGCCCUAUCAACUUUCGAUGGUAGGAUAGUGGCCUACCAUGGUGGCAACGGGUAACGGGGAAUUAGGGUUCGAUUCCGGAGAGGGAGCCUGAGAAACGGCUACCACAUCCAAGGAAGGCAGCAGGCGCGCAAAUUACCCAAUCCCGAUACGGGGAGGUAGUGACAAUAAAUACUGAUACGGGGCUCUUUUGGGUCUCGUAAUUGGAAUGAGAACAAUUUAAAUCCCUUAACGAGGAACAAUUGGAGGGCAAGUCUGGUGCCAGCAGCCCCCCC